rnacentral:rRNA from 1 species
UACGUAGGGGGCAAGCGUUGUCCGGAAUUAUUGGGCGUAAAGCGCACGUAGGCGGCUUAGCAAGUCGGAAGUGAAAGCCCUCGGCUCAACCAAGGAAGUGCUUUCGAAACUGCUGAGCUUGAGUACUUAAGAGGAUCGCGGAAUUCCCGGUGUAGAGGUGAAAUUCGUAGAUAUCGGGAGGAACACCAGUGGCGAAGGCGGCGAUCUGGGAAGAUACUGACGCUGAGGUGCGAAAGCGUGGGGAGCAAACAGG